ACCAGGCAUGGUGGAGCAUGCCUGUAAUCCCAAUGGCUCUGGAGGCUGAGGCAGGAGGAUCACAAGUUCAAAGCUAGCCUCAGCAAUGGCGAGGCACUAAGCAACUCAGUGAGAUCCUGUCUCUA
rnacentral:sRNA from 1 species